rfam:Glycine soja cultivar W05 scaffold811_8, whole genome shotgun sequence.
UUCUUGUUGGAUGAUGUUUGUCACGUGUCAUGUUCUGAUGUGAUGAUGUCAACUCCAUAAAAGAUGAAAUAAAUUAUUGUUUUCAUUGACCAAUCAGAACAUGACACGUGACAGUCAUCAUCU